GAAUACCUUCAGUGCUUUCCCGGAACCGGAAGUUGGGGCUCGCGCGCUCUCCCCCUGCCCGCAGUCCCUGCGGCAGCACCUUCCCGGCCUCCCAGCUCAGACCCCGGAGCCGCCGCCAACGAAGCCCGAGGGACCCUCUCCUCUCAACCCCUCCGGGCCCGAUGCCGGGGGAGUCACCGGGAUGAGAAGCUCCUUCCUGCCGCUUUGUGGCUCCCGCUCUGGGGGAGGCUCUGAGGGGGAGAAAUGGCCGCCGGGCUCCCUCCGCCCGCCGCUCCCUCGAGCCGCGUGAGCGAAACGGCGGAAGGAUCCGGGAGGCGCCCUGGCGGCCCCAAUGAGAAAGGCUGGUUUUCCUCCUGGGCUGCAAUGACGUCAUGGAGUUAAUCUGCAUUUGGGGCGGGGUCCUUAAGGAAUUGUUAACAUUCGGAGCUGUGGCUGUCACCUCCAAGGAGACCCCCGUAGCCUUCUCAGCAGGAUCUGUGCAGGGAUGUGUUGCGGACAACCAGAGGAACCUGGUCUGCCUGAGUUGGGACAGUAGGUCUGAAAUCAAACAGACAAUCCCAAAGCUGGACAUUUCUUUGGAGGAAUUAUGCCAGGCAAGUCUUAUAAGGGAUGGUAUCUUGGACCGUGAGUUGAGUCAAAUCUGGAAUUGUGGCACCCAGCUAGUGAGGAAAUAAUAAUGAAUGUAAUGAAUGUGGCAAGACUUUCAGCCAGGAGACAUAUCUUACUCAGUACAGGAAAAUUCAUAUGGGAGAGAAACUUUAUGAAUGUAAUGACUGUGGGAAGGCCUUCUGCUGGAAGAUAGACCUCAUUUGACAUCAGAUGAUCCAUACUGUGAAAGAUCCUAAGAAUGUAAUGACUAUGGGAAGACUUUCUGCCUGACUACAGCUCUUAAUUUACAUUGAAGAAUUCAUAUUGGAGGAAAAUCUUAUUAGUGUAAUGAAUGUUGUAAGGCCUUGUGCCUGAUCAAAGAACUUACUCAAAAAUCAAAAGAUUCAUACUGGAGACAAACCUUCUAAGUGCAAUGAGUGUGGAGAACUUUCCUUCACAAGAGAGACCUCACUUGAUAUUAGAAUAUUCUCACUAGAGAUAAACCUUGUCAAGGUGUUCUGCCAUAGUACAGUUCUGAUCGGGCAUCAAUCUGGAGAGAAGCCUUAUGAAUGUAAGCAAUGUGGGAAGUCUUUUGCUUGGAAAAAGUAGGAUAUGAA